UACGGAGGGAGCUAGCGUUGUUCGGAAUUACUGGGCGUAAAGCGCGCGUAGGCGGCUUUGUAAGUUAGAGGUGAAAGCCCAGGGCUUAACCCUGGAAUUGCCUUUAAGACUGCAUCGCUAGAAUUGUGGAGAGGUAAGUGGAAUUCCGAGUGUAGAGGUGAAAUUCGUAGAUAUUCGGAAGAACACCAGUGGCGAAGGCGACUUACUGGACACAUAUUGACGCUGAGGUGCGAAAAGCGUGGGGGAGCAAACAGGG
rnacentral:rRNA from 1 species